GAUGAACGCUGGCGGCGUGCCUAACACAUGCAAGUCGAGCGAUCUUCUUCGGAAGAGAGCGGCGGACGGGUGAGUAACGCGUGGGUAACCUGCCUCAUACACAUGGAUAACAUACCGAAAGGUAUGCUAAUACAAGAUGGUAUAAGAGAUUCGCAUGGAUUUCUUAUCAAAGCUCCGGCGGUAUGAGAUGGACCCGCGUCUGAUUAGCUAGUUGGUAAGGUAACGGCUUACCAAGGCGACGAUCAGUAGCCGACCUGAGAGGGUGAUCGGCCACAUUGGAACUGAGACACGGUCCAAACUCCUACGGGAGGCAGCAGUGGGGAAUAUUGCACAAUGGGCGAAAGCCUGAUGCAGCAACGCCGCGUGAGCGAUGAAGGCCUUCGGGUCGUAAAGCUCUGUCCUCAAGGAAGAUAAUGACGGUACUUGAGGAGGAAGCCCCGGCUAACUACGUGCCAGCCGCCGCAGUAACAC
rnacentral:rRNA from 1 species